CCAGUAACUGCGAGUGAAGAGGGAAGAGCUCAUCAUUGGAAUCUGGCAGUGUUGCACUGUCCGAGUUGUAGAUGAGGAGUAGUUCAUCUGGACUGCAUGGCGUCCAAGUACAAUAGGCCGUCAGUGGGACAUCAUAGAGGGUGACAAUCCCGUCCUUGAUGCCAAUGUGCAAGUCCAUUACGAUGACUAUCUCAGAGAGUCGAGCAGUUUGGGAUUUGCUGCUUAAACAUGGGAGGUAGAUUCCUUCUAAAGCUAAAUACAGGCGAGAGACCGAUAGAGAACAAGUACCGCAAGGGAAAGAUGAAAUAGCACUCUGUGAAGGGAGUCAAAAGGCGUGAAAUUGUUGCGAGAGAAGCGAUUCAAGUCAGCGUAGCUAGGCCCAUCAAGCCUAUUGCUUUGGACUAGCUUUGCCAGCGGUCUUGUCCUUAGAGACUUGACUUGUAUGUCCAGCCUGGUAUGCACAGGUAGCCCCCCUUGGGGGUCAGUGACAUGGCUGGUGGAAUGGCUUGCAAUCGACCCGUCUUGAAACACGGACCAAGGAGUCUAACAUGUAUGCGAGUAUAAGGGUGGCAAACCCGUAUGCGCAAUGAAAGUGAUUUUCGAUGAUUGAGAAUGGCCUGAUGACCAGACAAGCAAUACAUGUCCCUCGUACGGCCAUUGCCCAAGUUCCGUGGUAGAUCCCAUGAACAUGGAGUUGGAGCAUACAUGCUAGGACCCGAAAGAUGGUGAACUAUGCCUGGACAAAGCGAAGCCAAAGGAAACUCUGGUGGAGGCUUGUAGCGAUUCUGACGUGCAAAUCGAUCGUCUGAUCUGGGUAUAGGGGCGAAAGACUA
rnacentral:rRNA from 1 species